ACCUAAAUAGUUUAAGUAAAAUUUUAAUUUGUGGAAUUAAGGAUGUAGAAUUACUUUAGGUA
rnacentral:tRNA from 1 species